UCAAGUAAUUAAGUGCAUGUGGUGGAUGCCUUGGCAGUCAGAGGCGAUGAAAGACGUGAUAGCCUGCGAAAAGCUCCGGGGAGGCGGCAAAUAUCCUUUGAUCCGGAGAUGUCUGAAUGGGGGAACCCACCUACUUUAAGGUAGGUAUUGCAACAUGAAUACAUAGUGUUGCAAGGCGAACGAGGGGAAGUGAAACAUCUCAGUACCCUUAGGAAAAGAAAUCAAUUGAGAUUCCCUCAGUAGCGGCGAGCGAACGGGGAUCAGCCCAUUAAGUUAUGUGUGUUUUAGUGGAACGCUCUGGGAAGUGCGAACGUAGAGGGUGAUAUUCCCGUACACGAAAGGGCACACAUAAUGAUGACGAGUAGGGCGAGGCACGUGAAACCUUGUCUGAAUAUGGGGGGACCAUCCUCCAAGGCUAAAUACUCCUGACUGACCGAUAGUGAACCAGUACCGUGAGGGAAAGGCGAAAAGAACCCCUGUGAGGGGAGUGAAAUAGAUCCUGAAACCGCAUGCAUACAAGCAGUGGGAGCACCUUCGUGGUGUGACUGCGUACCUUUUGUAUAAUGGGUCAGCGACUUAUAUUCAGUAGCGAGGUUAACCGUAUAGGGGAGCCGUAGAGAAAUCGAGUCUUAAUAGGGCGUUUAGUUGCUGGGUAUAGACCCGAAACCAGGCGAUCUAUCCAUGAGCAGGUUGAAGGUUGGGUAACACUAACUGGAGGACCGAACCCACUGUCGUUGAAAAGCCAGGGGAUGACUUGUGGAUAGGGGUGAAAGGCUAAUCAAGCCUGGUGAUAGCUGGUUCUCCCCGAAAGCUAUUUAGGUAGCGCCUCGGACGAAUACCAUAGGGGGUAGAGCACUGUUUCGGCUAGGGGGUCAUCCCGACUUACCAAACCGAUGCAAACUCCGAAUACCUAUGAGUACUAUCCGGGAGACAGACUGCGGGUGCUAACGUCCGUAGUCAAGAGGAAAACAAUCCAGACCGCCAGCUAAGGCCCCAAAAUCAUAGUUAAGUGGGAAACGAUGUGGGAAGGCAUAGACAGCUAGGAGGUUGGCUUAGAAGCAGCCACCCUUUAAAGAAAGCGUAAUAGCUCACUAGUCGAGUCGGCCUGCGCGGAAGAUGUAACGGGGCUAAAACUAUGUGCCGAAGCUGCGGAUGUAUACUUUGUAUACGUGGUAGGGGAGCGUUCUGUAAGCCGAUGAAGGUGUGUUGAGAAGCAUGCUGGAGGUAUCAGAAGUGCGAAUGCUGACGUGAGUAACGACAAAACGGGUGAAAAACCCGUUCGCCGAAAGACCAAGGGUUCCAGUCCAACGUUAAUCGGGGCUGGGUGAGUCGACCCCUAAGGCGAGGCCGAAAGGCGUAGUCGAUGGGAAAAUGGUUAAUAUUCCAUUACUUCUGUGUAAUGCGAUGAGAGGACGGAGAAGGCUAAAUCAGCCUGGCGUUGGUUGUCCAGGUGAAAGGAUGUAGGCAUGUAUCUUAGGCAAAUCCGGGGUACUCUAUGCUGAGAUCUGAUAGCAAGCUGUACUUGUACAGCGAAGUGGUUGAUGCCAUGCUUCCAGGAAAAGUCUCUAAGCUUCAGUUACACAGGAAUCGUACCCGAAACCGACACAGGUGGUCAGGUCGAGUAGACCAAGGCGCUUGAGAGAACUCUGCUGAAGGAACUAGGCAAAAUGGUACCGUAACUUCGGGAGAAGGUACGCUGUUGUUGGUGAUGGAACUCGCUUCCUGAGCUGACGACAGCCGCAGAAACCAGGCCGCUGCAACUGUUUAUUAAAAACAUAGCACUCUGCAAACACGAAAGUGGACGUAUAGGGUGUGAUGCCUGCCCGGUGCUGGAAGGUUAAUUGAUGGGGUUAGCGUAAGCGAAGCUCUUGAUCGAAGCCCCAGUAAACGGCGGCCGUAACUAUAACGGUCCUAAGGUAGCGAAAUUCCUUGUCGGGUAAGUUCCGACCUGCACGAAUGGCAUAAUGAUGGCGGCGCUGUCUCCAGCAGAGGCUCAGUGAAAUCGAAAUCGCUGUGAAGAUGCAGUGUACCCGCGGCUAGACGGAAAGACCCCGUGAACCUUUACUGCAGCUUGACACUGAACUUUGACCUUACUUGUGUAGGAUAGGUGGGAGGCUUUGAAGCUGGAACGCUAGUUCCAGUGGAGCCGUCCUUGAAAUACCACCCUGGUAAUGUUGAGGUUCUAACUCUGUCCCGUGAUCCGGGACGAGGACCGUGUCUGGUGGGUAGUUUGACUGGGGCGGUCUCCUCCUAAAGAGUAACGGAGGAGUACGAAGGUGCGCUCAGCGUGGUCGGAAAUCACGCGUAGAGUAUAAAGGCAAAAGCGCGCUUAACUGCGAGACCCACAAGUCGAGCAGGUACGAAAGUAGGUCUUAGUGAUCCGGUGGUUCUGUAUGGAAGGGCCAUCGCUCAACGGAUAAAAGGUACUCUGGGGAUAACAGGCUGAUACCGCCCAAGAGUUCAUAUCGACGGCGGUGUUUGGCACCUCGAUGUCGGCUCAUCUCAUCCUGGGGCUGAAGCAGGUCCCAAGGGUAUGGCUGUUCGCCAUUUAAAGAGGUACGCGAGCUGGGUUUAGAACGUCGUGAGACAGUUCGGUCCCUAUCUACCGUGGGCGCUGGAAAUUUGAGAGGAUCUGCUCCUAGUACGAGAGGACCAGAGUGGACGAACCUCUGGUGUACCGGUUGUGACGCCAGUCGCAUCGCCGGGUAGCUAUGUUCGGAAGGGAUAACCGCUGAAAGCAUCUAAGCGGGAAGCCUACCUCAAGAUAAGAUUUCCCUAGGACUUUAUGUCCUCUAAAGAGCCGUUCGAGACUAGGAUGUUGAUAGGUUGGAUGUGGAAGCAUAGUGAUAUGUGAAGCUGACCAAUACUAAUUGCUCGUGAGGCUUGACUAU
rnacentral:rRNA from 1 species